rnacentral:rRNA from 1 species
GCCCACCAGCUAGCCCCCCCCCCACCCUACAACAUCCAAUAUUAAUAACCCCCCACCUCCUACCACUAAUACACCAAAACAUUUUUCCACCCCAGUACGGGAGACAGAAAAGGAACACAGGCGCCAUAGCAAAAGUACCGCAAGGGAAAGCUGAAAGAGGGAUGAAAAAGCCCAGUAAAGAAUAAAAAAGCAGAGAUUAAUACUCGUACCUUUUGCAUCAUGAAUUAGUUAGUACCCCUCAAGCAAAGCGCCCUUCACGUUUGAGCCCCCGAAACUAGGCGAGCUACUCCAAGACAGCCUAUCAUAGGGCACACCCGUCUCUGUGGCAAAAGAGUGGGAAGAGCUUUGAGUAGGGGUGACAGACCUAUCGAGCCAAGUUAUAGCUGGUUGCCUAAAAAUUGAAUAGAAGUUCACCCCUUUGAUUUUUUUACUCCAAAAAGGCCCGCCCGCCCUAAGACUAAAAGAACAUCAAAAGAGCUAUUCGAAGGGGGCACAGCCCCUUCGAAAGAAGAUACAACUUUGACAGACGGCUAAAGAUCAAACAACACAAGGUGUCGCACCCAAGUGGGCCUAGAAGCAGCCACCUAUUUAAAAAGCGUUAAAGCUUAAGUACAAGCAACCAAUGAUACCGACAUAACUAUCUCAAGCCCCUUCAUCUAUUAGGCCCUCCCAUGCCCCCAUGGGAGAGAUACUGCUAAUAUGAGUAAUAAGAGGGCCAGGCCCUCUCCCUGCAGAUGUGUACAUCAGAGCGAACUCACACUGAAAACUAACGCCCCCACAACAGAGGGUAUUGAAUGAGACUAACUGAAACCAGAAGCCCCCUCAAACACAAGCGUUAACCUCACACAAGACUGCUUUUAGGAAAGACACAAAAAGAAAGAAGGAACUCGGCAAACACCUUGGCCUCGCCUGUUUACCAAAAACACCGCCUUUUGCCCCUACAGUAUAAGAGGUCCCGCCUGCCCUGUGACGAAAGUUUAACGGCCGCGGUAUUUUGACCGUGCGAAGGUAGCGUAAUCACUUGUCUUUUAAAUGAAGACCUGUAUGAAUGGCUCAACGAGGGCUAAGCUGUCUCCUUUCUUUGGUCAAUGAAAUUGAUCUGCCCGUGCAGAAGCGGGCAUACCCACAUAAGACGAGAAGACCCUAUGGAGCUUUAGACACCAGACAGACCACGUUAAAACACCCGCCCAACGGGAAUAAACCAAGUGGCCGCUGUCCCCGUCUUUGGUUGGGGCGACCACGGGGUAAUACCAAACCCCCGCGCGGAACGGAAUCCUCCCUAAAGCAAGGCCCACAGGCCUAGCCACCAGAAAAUCUGACCAGAAGACCCGGCCCUAGAGCCGAUCAACGGACCUAGUUACCCUAGGGAUAACAGCGCAAUCCCCUUUUAGAGCCCACAUCGACAAGGGGGUUUACGACCUCGAUGUUGGAUCAGGACCUCCUAAUGGUGCAGCCGCUAUUAAGGGUUCGUUUGUUCAACGAUUAAAGUCCU